rnacentral:rRNA from 1 species
AGUGAACGCUGGCGGUAGGCCUAACACAUGCAAGUCGAACGGCAGCACAGUAAGAGCUUGCUCUUACGGGUGGCGAGUGGCGGACGGGUGAGGAAUACAUCGGAAUCUACUUUUUCGUGGGGGAUAACGUAGGGAAACUUACGCUAAUACCGCAUACGACCUACGGGUGAAAGCAGGGGAUCUUCGGACCUUGCGCGAUUGAAUGAGCCGAUGUCGGAUUAGCUAGUUGGCGGGGUAAAGGCCCACCAAGGCGACGAUCCGUAGCUGGUCUGAGAGGAUGAUCAGCCACACUGGAACUGAGACACGGUCCAGACUCCUACGGGAGGCAGCAGUGGGGAUUAUUGGACAAUGGGCGCAAGCCUGAUCCAGCCAUACUGCGUGGGUGAAGAAGGCCUUCGGGUUGUAAAGCCCUUUUGUUGGGAAAGAAAAGCAGCAGGUUAAUACCCCGCUGUUCUGACGGUACCCAAAGAAUAAGCACCGGCUAACUUCGUG